AACGAACGCUGGCGGCAGGCCUUUUACAUGCAAGUCGAGCGCACCUUCGGGUGAGCGGCGGACGGGUUAGUAACGCGUGGGAACGUGCCCUUCUCUACGGAAUAGCCUCUGGAAACGGAGAGUAAUACCGUAUACGCCCUUUGGGGGAAAGAUUUAUCGGAGAAGGAUCGGCCCGCGUUAGAUUAGGUAGUUGGUGGGGUAACGGCCUACCAAGCCUACGAUCUAUAGCUGGUUUUAGAGGAUGAUCAGCAACACUGGGACUGAGACACGGCCCAGACUCCUACGGGAGGCAGCAGUGGGGAAUCUUAGACAAUGGGGGCAACCCUGAUCUAGCCAUGCCGCGUGAGUGAUGAAGGCCUUAGGGUCGUAAAGCUCUUUCGCCUGUGAUGAUAAUGACAGUAGCAGGUAAAGAAACCCCGGCUAACUCCGUG
rnacentral:rRNA from 1 species